GACGAACGCUGGCGGCGUGCCUAAUACAUGCAAGUAGAACGCUGAAGGAGGAGCUCGCUCUUCUGGAUGAGUUGCGAACGGGUGAGUAACGCGUAGGUAACCUGCCUGGUAGCGGGGGAUAACUAUUGGAAACGAUAGCUAAUACCGCAUAACAUUGACUAUUGCAUGAUAGUCAAUUGAAAGGUGCAAUUGCACCACUACCAGAUGGACCUGCGUUGUAUUAGCUAGUUGGUGGGGUAACGGCUCACCAAGGCAACGAUACAUAGCCGACCCGAGAGGGUGGUCGGCCACACUGGGAGUGGAACACGGCCCAGACUCCGGCGGGAGGCAGCAGUAGGGAAUCUUCGGCAAUGGACGGACGUCUGACCGAGCAACGUCGCGUGAGUGAAGAUGGUUUUCGGAUCGUAGAGCUCUUUUGUAAGAGAAGAACGAGUGUGAGAGUGGAAAGUUCACACUGUGACGGUAUCUUACCAGAAAGGGACGGCUAACUACGUGCCAGCCGCCGCCGUAAGAC
rnacentral:rRNA from 1 species